rnacentral:rRNA from 1 species
GACGAACGCUGGCGGCGUGCUUAACACAUGCAAGUCGAACGGAAAGGCCCUGCUUUUGUGGGGUGCUCGAGUGGCGAACGGGUGAGUAACACGUGAGUAACCUGCCCUUGACUUCGGGAUAACUUCAGGAAACUGGGGCUAAUACCGGAUAGGAGCUCCUGCUGCAUGGUGGGGGUUGGAAAGUUUCGGCGGUUGGGGAUGGACUCGCGGCUUAUCAGCUUGUUGGUGGGGUAGUGGCUUACCAAGGCUUUGACGGGUAGCCGGCCUGAGAGGGUGACCGGCCACAUUGGGACUGAGGUACGGCCCAGACUCCUACGGGAGGCAGCAGUGGGGAAUAUUGCACAAUGGGCGGAAGCCUGAUGCAGCAACGCCGCGUGCGGGAUGACGGCCUUCGGGUUGUAAACCGCUUUCGCCUGUGACGAAGCGUGAGUGACGGUAAUGGGUAAAGAAGCACCGGCUAACUACGUG